rnacentral:rRNA from 1 species
UACAGAGGGUGCGAGCGUUGUCCGGAAUUACUGGGCGUAAAGGGCGCGUAGGCGGGAUGGCAAGUCGGUCGUGAAAUCCUUCGGCUCAACCGAAGAACGUCGGCCGAUACUGCCGUUCUUGAGGGAUGCAGAGGAGACUGGAAUUCCCGGUGUAGCGGUGAAAUGUGUAGAGAUCGGGAGGAACACCGGUGGCGAAGGCGGGUCUCUGGGCAUCUCCUGACGCUGAGGCGCGAAAGCGUGGGGAGCAAACGGG